UGGGGAAUUUUGCGCAAUGGGGGAAACCCUGACGCAGCAACGCCGCGUGAGUGAUGAAGGCCUUCGGGUCGUAAAGCUCUGUCAGAGGGGAAGAAAUGCAGGGGUGCUAAUAUCAUCUUUGCUUGACGGUACCCUCAAAGGAAGCACCGGCUAACUCCGUGCCAGCAGCCGCGGUAAUACGGAGGGUGCGAGCGUUGUUCGGAAUUAUUGGGCGUAAAGCGCGUGUAGGCGGUUUGGUAAGUCUGAUGUGAAAGCCCCGGGCUCAACCGGGGAAGUGCAUUGGAAACUGGCAGACUUGACUACGGGAGAGGGUAGUGGAAUUCCUAGUGUAGGAGUGAAAUCCGUAGAUAUUAGGAGGAACACCGGUGGCGAAGGCGGCUACCUGGACCGAUAUUGACGCUGAGACGCGAAAGCGUGGGGAGCAAACAG
rnacentral:rRNA from 1 species